GGGGGGCUGCUCCUAGUACGAGAGGACCGGAGUGGACGCAUCACUGGUGUUCGGGUUGUCAUGCCAAUGGCACUGCCCGGUAGCUAAAUGCGGAAGAGAUAAGUGCUGAAAGCAUCUAAGCACGAAACUUGCCCCGAGAUGAGUUCUCCCUGAGACUUUAAGUCUCCUGAAGGAACGUUGAAGACGACGACGUUGAUAGGCCGGGUGUGUAAGCGCAGCGAUGCGUUGAGCUAACCGGUACUAAUGAACCGUGAGGCUUAACCUUACAACGCCGAAG
rnacentral:rRNA from 2 species